rnacentral:rRNA from 1 species
UACGUAGGGUGCAAGCGUUGUCCGGAAUUAUUGGGCGUAAAGAGCUCGUAGGCGGUUUGUCGCGUCUGCUGUGAAAUCCCAGGGCUUAACCCUGGGCCUGCAGUGGGUACGGGCAAACUAGAGUGCGGUAGGGGAGAUCGGAAUUCCUGGUGUAGCGGUGAAAUGCGCAGAUAUCAGGAGGAACACCGGUGGCGAAGGCGGAUCUCUGGGCCGUAACUGACGCUGAGGAGCGAAAGCAUGGGCAGCGAACAGG